GUAGUCCACGCCGUAAACGUUGGGCGCUAGAUGUGGGGACCUUUCCACGGUUUCCGUGUCGUAGCUAACGCAUUAAGCGCCCCGCCUGGGGAGUACGGCCGCAAGGCUAAAACUCAAAGGAAUUGACGGGGGCCCGCACAAGCGGCGGAGCAUGCGGAUUAAUUCGAUGCAACGCGAAGAACCUUACCAAGGCUUGACAUGACCGAGAACACGCGAGAGAUCGCGGACUCUUUGGACACUCGGUUACAGGUGGUGCAUGGUUGUCGUCAGCUCGUGUCGUGAGAUGUUGGGUUAAGUCCCGCAACGAGCGCAACCCUCGUCGCAUGUUGCCAGCACGUUAUGGUGGGGACUCAUGUGAGACUGCCGGGGUCAACUCGGA
rnacentral:rRNA from 1 species